ACCAGAACCCUCAGAGGAAAUCAGCUGCUCCUCCAAAUAGGAGCUGAGACAUAAAACUGGCAGAGGGCCUGGGAGCAGGCAAAGAGGAACCUGCACCUCAUCCUGCCUUAGUUUGAUCACUACGGCCCUGGCCAUUGCUCCUGCCCGCUUUGACAGGGAGAAGGUAUUCCGAAUAAAACCCCAGGAUGAAAAACAAGCAAACAUCCUAAAGGACUUGGCCAAAACCAACAAGCAUGACUUCUGAUAUCCAGAUGCCACCUAAGUGGCUGUUACAUGAGGGUGGAUUUCUGAGUUAGUGAAAAGGAAUCCCAGACCAUCCAGUUUGUCUUGGAUCAAAAUAAAAUGCAGUAUGUGUAAG